rnacentral:rRNA from 1 species
AGUGAACGCUGGCGGUAGGCCUAACACAUGCAAGUCGAACGGCAGCACAGUAAGAGCUUGCUCUUACGGGUGGCGAGUGGCGGACGGGUGAGGAAUACAUCGGAAUCUACUUUUUCGUGGGGGAUAACGUAGGGAAACUUACGCUAAUACCGCAUACGACCUACGGGUGAAAGCAGGGGAUCUUCGGACCUUGCGCGAUUGAAUGAGCCGAUGUCGGAUUAGCUAGUUGGGGGGGUAAAGGCCCACCAAGGCGACGAUCCGUAGCUGGUCUGAGAGGAUGAUCGGCCACACUGGAACUGAGACACGGUCCAGACUCCUACGGGAGGCACCAGUGGGGAAUAUUGGACAAUGGGCGCAAGCCUGAUCCAGCCAUACCGCGUCGGUGAAGAAGGCCUUCGGGUUGUAAAGCCCUUUUGUUGGGAAAGAAAAGCAGCAGGUUAAUACCCCGCUGUUCUGACGGUACCCAAAGAAUAAGCACCGGCUAACUUCGUG